GACAGAGGGGGCAAGCGUUGCUCGGAAUCACUGGGCGUAAAGGGCGCGAGUAGGCGGGAUGGCAAGUCAGUCGUGAAAUCUCUCGGCUCAACCGAGAAACGUCGGCUGAUACUGCCGUUCUUGAGGGAUGCAGAGGAGACUGGAAUUCCCGGUGUAGCGGUGAAAUGUGUAGAGAUCGGGAGGAACACCGGUGGCGAAGGCGGGUCUCUGGGCAUCUCCUGACGCUGAGGCGCGAAAGCGUGGGGAGCAAACGGG
rnacentral:rRNA from 1 species